rnacentral:rRNA from 1 species
CACGUAGGGCGCAAGCGUUGUCCGGAAUUAUUGGGCGUAAAGAGCUCGUAGGCGGUGUGUCACGUCGGCCGUGAAAACCUGCAGCUUAACUGUGGGCGUGCGGUCGAUACGGGCAUCACUGGAGUUCGGCAGGGGAGACUGGAAUUCCUGGUGUAGAGGUGAAAUGCGCAGAUAUCAGGAGGAACACCGGUGGCGAAGGCGGGUCUCUGGGCCGAUACUGACGCUGAGGAGCGAAAGCGUGGGGAGCAAACAGG